UUAUGAAGGGAAACAAGUCAUGGUGGAUUCUGGACCAAUCUAUGAUACAACUUUUGCUGGUGGACGAUUAGGUCUUUUUGUCUUCUCUCAAGAGAUGGUCUAUUUCUCUGACCUCAAAUAUGAAUGCAGAGAUGCUUGAGCAGUGGUUGCUGCAUUACCAGCAAAGUACUGUAGAUGCUAUGCAACCCAGACACCUCAGUGCACCCUGGCACUCCCAGUUUCUAUUUUUGUGUACCUCCUGUCCUAUUUCCUCAUGCUCCACUCUCCAGGAUCCUCCCAGCUGCCAGGAGUGUUUCAGCCACCCUUCCACCCAAGUGCCUUCUCACAGCCAGGACUAACGAAACCUAAACGUGAACGUCGGACCCACCACUGAAGCAAAAGCAGAUUGAUACGUUAGAACAUUUUUGUAGAGUGAAAACUUAGCAAAAUGUGUUUGUUUACUUGUCUUUUUUAAAGAAUGACGUUUACAUAUAAAAAAAUGUAAUUACUUAAUGUAUUUAUAUAUAUGGAGAAAAAGAGGGGGGAUGAUGAUUAUCAGUUGUUAUGUUUAAGUGAGGAAAAAUAUCUCUUAAUUUUUUUGGGUGUACGGUUGACACUUCCUAGCUCUGAUCAAGACUGGACUUGUAACACAGAGCUUCUGGGUCUAAUUUUAGCAAAGUAAUGGAGGGUCACACCAACAGUAAAAAUUACUUUGGAUAUUAAAGAUCAGUUAUAAACAUUUCUUGAUUCAAAAAGGUGCUUAGUUGUUAAGGAUGCUCUUAGUAAUACUCUUUAAAAUUAUUACUGGUAGAACUGUCAAAUUUGCAACCUAAAACAUUCUUUAGUAGGGGCUUUAUUUAGGCCAAACAGAAUUGAACUAGAAACUCUCAUGUGAAAGGGAAGAGUGAUUUAUUUAAACAUCUGAAGCUAUCACUAUUGUCUGACUUUCAAAAAAUUAUGUCCAGUUGCCGUGUUUUCAUCAUAUUCUGCAUUGCCUUGUAAUAAAGAAUAUACCAUGACUAUGUGGAGCAAAAUGAACCUGAACCACUUUUCCACCUCUGCUGCAAAAAGCACUUUGACAUCCUGAAACCUGAUGUGGGUUUUUGAAAAGGCGGCAAUGCUUGCCAUUACUUAAUUUGGUAACAUAUGAAUUUAAGGUUCCAUUUAUAAAUAUUUUGUUAGUAUUUAUUGUGAUUAUAAUGCCAAGCUACCUUCUCUGAUAAUUGAUUUUAAAGCAUAUAAUCCAUCAAUACACAAAUAAUAAUAAUCCAUCAAUAAAUUCACAAAUAAUG